UACGUAGGUGGCAAGCGUUGUCCGGAUUUACUGGGCGUAAAGAGCGCGCAGGCGGUCGUUCAAGUCGCGUGUGAAAGCCCCCGGCUCAACUGGGGAGGGUCACGCGAUACUGAUCGACUCGAAGGCAGGAGAGGGUAGUGGAAUUCCCGGUGUAGUGGUGAAAUGCGUAGAUAUCGGGAGGAACACCAGUGGCGAAGGCAGCUUGCUGGGACGGUACUGACGCUGAGACGCGAAAGCGUGGG
rnacentral:rRNA from 1 species